CACGCUGAAACACGAGCGGGAAGUAGUGAGGACCGGGCUCGACGCGGGACCUCACCGUCAAGUCAGUCUCCAAGCCGACGACUACGCCAAGAAAACAAGAAAAUUGAGAAAGCGAUUGGGGAAAAAUAUUAUGAAAUUCUGCAAAGGAAAAAAAUUGCUUUUGACGAAGGUUGAGGAAAUCAAUAAGAUUUUUGAGGUCGCCUAUGGAAGCAAAGACGCCCUUAAUGAAGAAGAAUACGCUAAGGCUAUUUCCUCAACGCCAAGAAUUCUUUUUGGCAUCAUUCUAAGUGGUUCUGUGACGGGGACACUGACUGUCACGUCAAACAUUGAUAUCAACAUCAGCAUUGGCUCGGCAUCUGGGUCGACUGGGACUUCAACCACUAAUACCAACACCAAUACUAAUACCAAUAAUAAUAAUAAUAAUAAUAACAAUAACAGUAAUGGUGGGAAUAACAAUAACAGUAACAGUAAUGGUGGAAAUAACAAUAACAACAAUAAUAAUAACAACAAUAAUAAUAAUAAUAAUAACAAUAAUAAUGGCUGAAAUUAAAAAAAAAAAGAAUUUCUGCAAGUUUCAAGUCAUGAAAUCAUUGAAGAGAUUAGACAUUACUUUGAAAAAAAAA